CACAGUAGUGGUUGGCUUAGAAGUAACUUAGUGUAGUUCUCAUGUUUAUGAUUACUUGCUGACUUCUCCAUACAAGUUCGCCGUUCUUCAUGUUUUUAAUUGAGAAUUUUUUUUCAGAUGCCAUGGCGCCCAUCUCUAGGCGAGCUUCGUUGCCUUCUCCUCAUGAGCGUCAACAUGAGGAACAAUCAUCAUUGCUGCCAGAAUUUCUUUUCUACUUAUUACCUGCUGGGUUACAGGUUGAUUUGAUCUGCUGUAUUAUGAAUAUAAUUCAGCUCCAUGCUAAAGUUAAGGCAGAUGAUUACCACCGCUAAAGUACUAAUUGUGAUGGUGUUUAAUCUUGGCAGAGGCUUCCUUUUGGUGUAUGCACCCAUAUACGAAAAUGGCAAAGAUAGCAUAACAUUAUUAGAUCUAUGCCACAAAAAGAUAUCCAUUAGAAGGUAUUUUACUAUGGUGAAGGUUAUAUUGGUGCUCGAUUUCCACAAAGUUUUGAAUUAAGAAACUAUACUGAUAUGCAGUUGGUAAAUUUUGCUAAUAAUUACUCUCAUGUUUUUCAGAUAAGGUACUCCAAAGGAAGCAAAAUUUAAGAGCCACAAAGUUAUUGAAAUCAAAUACUACAAUGUUUUUGUUAUUUUUUCCAACCAAUGGGUAAUGAAAUUCAACCUUGAAAUCCUUAAGUGCUUUUAUCUUAUGGUUCCUGGCUUAAACAGAGAAAGUCUGCAACAAAAAAUGUAUUUGGAAAAUGUUGUUUCCGAAAUGUUUGUCACAUGAACUGUAGUAACUGACUUAUGUUGCCUAACUUUUGGAUUCAGUUUUUUCAUUCUAUCUUAGAUUAAUGAUAUCAUGUAGCAGUUCUUUUUUUUGUGUGUGUUAGGAGCAUACACACCUGUCCAGGUGGCAUAUAUAUUCUCCAAGAAGCAAUGGUAAAAUAUGAUUAAAUGAACAUAUGUUUUUAAUAUGAACACUUAACCUUAUUACUAGAUUUGCUUUAGCGUGCAUAUGUUAUUGUCGUAUCCACCGGAUGUGUGUAUGGAUACUAGGUAAACUUGUUUCCAGUUAUCCACUAACCCGAGAAACACCACUAAAAC
rnacentral:lncRNA from 1 species